AAGGCAUGGUGUGGGAACUUUUUAAGCAUCUCCUUGAAUCUCUCACAACUCUCAUAAAUAGAUCCUCUUUCUAACUGAAUAAAAGAAGAAAUAUCAUUUCUAAGUUU